UGGCUUUGGGCUCCCCUCAUGGUCACCCCAGGACCAGUCUUGGCCUCAAGCAAGUCCCGGCUCAUGCUCUGCCAAGCUGGCCACCCACAAGCCUGGGCUGCUUACCUCAACUUCAGAUUCAUUGCCUGGCAACUCCACUAUGGUGCACGGUUUAACCAGCACUCGGCCGUUUGCAGAGCACAUUCACUGAGUUUCGUCAUGCUCACGUGCCCCUGCACGAUUAUUGAGCAUGUUAAAAUAUCGACUGCUUUCCACCGCAACCCGUGAAUUUGCCAAAGGAAAGCUGUUGUCCCUGCCUACCAUCCUUUGCCAAAACACAGAGAAGCCGAUUUUAGAAUAAGAUGAAGAUAUGAGCCCUCAGUGUGUGGACUGUGUUGCACAUCGUAGCCUAGUGAGGGGAGAAGUCUGGCAAUGGGAACUUCCGGUGGCACCCCCCCACCCACAGGGAUGGACCUCCUGAUGCACCCUGAACCUCUCCCUCAAGCUCUGCCAAAGAUCCCACACAGCCCCUGAGAUGGGUGUGACCUGCCGAGAUGCCAAUCAACCUGCUGACUGCAAGACAUUGGGAAGCAAGACUCCACCCUUGAAACCUUAUCCCAGCCUUUGAUGUACCUUUGAUCCCAGCCUUAAAUAAACUUUGAUCCCUGCCUUAAAUAAACCACCAGAGCCAUCCUUCCUUGGUCUAGUCCAGCACCCAUGGGGACCAGAUCUAUCAGGGGCUCUGCUUUAUGUAAAGAUA